GGCUGCUGCAAACUACCUACAAUCUGAAGAUCAGUUUCUGUGCUCCAUCUGUCUGGGUGUGUUCACGGAUCCUGUGACUACAUCAUGUGGUCACAACUUCUGCAAGAACUGCAUCACUGAACACUGGAAUACUAAUGAUCAGUACCUGUGACCGU